AGAAUCCUGUGAAGCGAGAUUAUGCCACGUGUCCUUUUUCAAAUCUUGAAGAUCUUCUCUUAGCCUUGUUCGUUCUCGAGCACCAGGCUUUUGAUUUGAUCCACGUCAGCAGAGUCGCGUCUGCAAAAACAUGCAGACUUGGAAAUAUCUUCGCCACGUGGCAGUUCGCGAACAUUCCACACCUUCCCUUCGUCCACGUCAUCAACCGCGGUCAUCGCGCUUCCAACCCACCCAAUAUCUUUCUUUUCCUUCUCCUCUAAACUUAACGUCGGCGUUAUCUGCUUCUCCACCGUCCUUUCAUAUUGGUCAAUCUCGUUUCAUCUUCACAAUAGAACACGAUCCACCUUCAAGACUUUUUCCCCAUUUAUGGACAACUUUUUUUUUGGAUAAAUUGUUUAUCCUAAUUUCGCUUUAAGGUUUAACAGCGGUUUCAUUUUUAUUAUUAUUGUUAUUAUUAUGACGUAAUGACGUAAUUCCAAUCUUUUGUCUAAUGACUCCAUAAUGGCGAUUUGUGAAGUUUCUCACCUGUGUCAGCGAUUUAGCACGAAGAAUACGAUGCGUCGUUUCUGGUUCUGGAUGUUCAUGUUUGAGCAACGAUCUUGUGUGUGUACGGUUACUGCUCUGAAGUUUUGAAUUUUCAGUAAAUUAAAUCACGGAAGGCCUCAGUAAGUUCUUCAGCUUAGUUAGGGUUUGGAAGAUACUUACGAAGAAAAAUUGAAGCACUUCUUGCAGGUUCCAUGGUUAGUUUUGAAUAAUUUUGUGUUGAAUUUGAAGUGAAUGGUCUAAGAAAGUGAUUGUACGCCAUUAGGGUUAGAGUUGUUGUAGAAAGGGUUUUGUUUGAGAGCGCUGUGGAUAUUUGGUCAAGGCAUUUGCUAGUCUUUCUUGUAUUCGUUGUAUAUAUAUUUUUUAACUGCAUAUCUAGUGAUUUGCGGUUGCAUUUGGGUUGGGGUUCGUGGAGAUUGUUGGAUGUGUGCUGUUUUUCUUUGGAUGAGGACGGGUUAUAUUCACUGUAAAUUUGGGCAUUCUGGAUGACAAGGGUUGUCCAGAUGAGUGUCGAUGGUGACAGCAAAGAGCUGAAAGAACUGAGUCAGCGCUUACGAGAUGGGAAGAAGAUUGCUGGCGGGGAACACGAGUUAUGCGAGGGUGAUGAAGUGAAAUGCAAUGGAUUAGCCGAGGGAGUUAAGGCUGGACAGGAGGGGACUGUGGAGUCCUCUGCUCAGCAGCAUAUUCCACAGCCUCAAGGGGCAAUAAUAUGUUGGGAGAGAUUUUUGCAUAUUAGAUCCCUUAAAGUUUUGCUUGUGGAGAUUGAUGACUCUACUCGUCAUGUUGUCACUGCACUGCUUCGCAAUUGUAGUUAUGAAG